rnacentral:lncRNA from 10 species
UCUGAGAUAAUUUUUCAGGUUUACAGACAGAUUUGAUAGACUUCUUAGCAAUAAAGUUAAGAGUAUUUAAUUAAUUCUUUUAUCAGCAGACAGCAACAGAUAAGGGGUUUGUUUCUUUUUAAAAACGUCUCUUCCUGUUCCAUUUUAUAAAUUCAUUUUUAAAUAAGCAUGAUUCUUUUUCUUAGACUUCACUUACCUUUUUUAACUGUGCUUCCAAUUUGCUACAUUCCUCUUUCUUUUGUUCAAUGGCUAUUUCUAGAGAUUUUAAUUUGGAAUCCCUUUUCAGCCCCGCAGAGGCUAAUGAAGAUGCAUGUUCUUUGAGGUCAAUUAAACUAGACUGAAAGAGAAAGAAUGUGAGUGAGUAAAACACUGAAAUUUCUACUAGCAAUGCCUUCAAUUUGAACACAUUGAUUCUAUACAUAGCAAUAAAGUGUGCAGUAGACAGAAAGGGUAAAUAUAAUCUUACUAAGGUAACAAUAGUCAGCUCUGGUCAGGAAAUUAAAGUUGGCCAGCUUACAGAACGAGUAGGAUCUAAUUGCCGUAGAAUCAAAUGUGACCAAAUGGUGUGGUCAGUAAAUGCAUGUUUCACGUCUCAAAGUCAUGCUAAUGAUGUAAGUCCCAAGGUGGUCUUUACAUGUCAUAGCAAAACAGACACCCUGAACCUUCCGUUUACAUUUAUUGCUGUCAGACUAUGCAGACAUUGAGACAAAUACGAAAGAAAAUACUGACUUUAAUGCAUCCGCUCCCAAGAGCAAGUCAAAUAUAAAAGAAGCCUCCUACUACAUUUUUAUCAAAUCCCAUUUCUUUAACAGAUAAAUGAUCAAUGGUUUUACAAACAUCUUCUGGAAAAUUAACAUAAAAUUAUUUUAAAAUUUAGAGUAAAUUUUAUGUUUGCGUCCUUUGCAAUCUAGAUUUGACAGAUAUGAUGAAUCUUUCCAACUCAGACAUAGGGUUACCUAAAUUGUUCCAGUCACUAAUCAUGUCCAGAAACCAACAGGCUCCACAUAUAGUUUGAAUUCCAAAAACUACAGAAAUAAAUAACUUGCAUAUAUCACUGAACAUAACUUUGCAACCUAAAAGAGCAAUGUUUGUCAUCAAAUAUGAAAUAGCAACAUCUAACUAUGUGACUCAGAUGUACAGGUUUUACCCCAAAACAGACUCCAUGUAUUUCCUUCUUGAUCAUUUGCAUCACCUAGGAAGAUACUAAAGACACAAUGGUCUCUCUGUAAACAACGUUGGCUAAUAAUUUACACUGGGUUGCUUCAUGGACACUGGAAUAACCUUGAUGAUAAAAAUCACCAUCAUCCAGCAAGGUGCUUCUAAAGCCCUCUGGGGAACAGAACCCUGACUGACACACCCAGCCCAGUGCCAAGCACAUCAUGCAGAAACAACAAGUGUUUACCAAAAUGUCUAUCUGAAAGUCAUACAAUGUUGGCAUUAUUUACAAAACUAUUUUCACUUACAGCUUAUGCUCCACCACUUCAUCAAGAUCUCUUUUCAUUAGAAGUAUAUACAUUGAUUUUAAGGUGCAAACCGACAAAUAACACUUGCAACCGGUGAAGAAUGCUAUAAACAAAGUCAAAGCUUCCAUAUCUUCUGUCGCAUACAAACAACAGUCAUCACAGAUCCUCCAACUCAGAAUCAGCAGUGGAAGCUAGGAAGAGAACUCCAUUCUUUAUAUUCAUAACAAAGAAAUAAGCUCCUUUCUAAAAAGCAAGUAGGUUUAAAUUUUAGGAAAUACGGAUUUUCUUUCUGAUUUUCCUCGAAACUCCUCUUACUCAUCCAUUCUUUUCCUUCUUCAUCUAGAUUCCUAAUUUAUUCAGGACUUUAGUUUGUGUGGAAUUAUCAGUACCACACGAGUGAGGAAAUACUGCGGAGCUAGGAGAUAGAUAACUGUGCUGUGGUACCGUCCAGCAGGGUGAAAGGUCUAUAACAGCUCUAAAGAAGAUGGACAGUUACAGCAGACAAAAACCUAGUUUACCUACCUGUGACAAUGGUGAGUGGAUGACUAUGUGAUCCACAAGAGAAGGAAAUGGCCACAGUACAUGGUCAAUCUCUCAAGGGUUUUUAAUGAUUUCAGCAACCAAGACCUUGCUGCCUUUUGCCCACACUACAACCAAUUACCCAGCCACCUCUCCGUCCCAUCCCUUCCACUACAUGGCUGUUGGAGCGACAUUUCUAAAGCUCCAAAAGGACCUGUCGUCUCACUAUUUGGAAACCUUCCCAGGAAUCCCUCUGGCUGGAUCACGUGGCACUUAUUCCCACUCGGCAGCCUUCACGUGGUUUCACUGCAUGAUCAUCCUCCCAGCCCCACUUUCAAGAGGGCAGCACUAAAAUCCUAUGAGUCUUCUUGACCCACAGCUGGGCAAAUCAUCUGGCAUACAACAAGCAAUUAAAAGAGCUGAAGGAAGGAAGGAGAACUCAAUUAGGGAUCAUCUUGGCUUCAAAGAAAAGGUAAUAAAAUUAAGCAGACAUGUUAACAGCCAGAAGGUGUCAGAAUCGUUUGGAAAGUAGGUCGAUUUGCUCUAAGCACUCGUACUAUUGACUGGGCAUUGAUGACAAAAAAAAUCAACAAGCACUAUAAUGUUUUUAAGUGUUAUUGAUGAUUCAAUACUACAACAUAUUUCUCCGUCAAUCACAAAACCAAUUUAACUGUCAGCCGCGCAGGGCCAGAUGUCAAAAACAUGUGUUAAAAGGCCCUAAUAUACCAUGAUGUACUUGAUUAAAAACUAACUUGCAGAAAUUCCAACAAUGUGUUCUUGUUUUAGUCUUAUUUGCAUUGGCAAGCAUUCCUUGUGCACUCAUCUGGCUCUGCACAGGUCUAAUCUAUUUGUGCUUUAUCACAGGGUGGGAACUAAAUUACAGUGGCCUCCAGCUCCACUAUCUGGCUUUCUCAACUGCUUAUCUGCUAUGUGGCUACAGCAAGGCUUUGCGAGACCAGCUUUAUAAAUACAGUGGGUUCCAUCUCUUGAGCUUCUGUGUGUCAAUCCUAGAACCAAGUCAUAUUCAAUCUUAACUCACGGAGAGGCAUUAUUCUUUGCACUCUGUUAAUAGUUGAAUAAGUUCCUGGAAAGUAAAAGGAAUAACAUACUCCCUAGGAUGCCAUAAUCCAGGG